GGCAGAUGAUGGUAUAUUCUCACGAUGGUCUUCGGAUGCCACAGUGCCGAUAAUGCCAAAGGCUGAGCUGAUGCCAGGAG
ensembl:snoRNA Snord35a small nucleolar RNA, C/D box 35A